UACGUAGGGGGCGAGCGUUGUCCGGAUUUAUUGGGCGUAAAGAGCUCGUAGGUGGUUCGAUAAGUCGGGUGUGAAAACUCUGGGCUUAACUCAGAGACGCCACCCGAUACUGUCGUGACUUGAGUCUGGUAGGGGAGUGUGGAAUUCCCGGUGUAGCGGUGAAAUGCGCAGAUAUCGGGAGGAACACCAGUGGCGAAGGCGGCACUCUGGGCCAGUACUGACACUGAGGAGCGAAAGCGUGGGUAGCGAACAGG
rnacentral:rRNA from 1 species